CACAUCCUGACUGGGAAAGAGCUGUGAAGAUCAUUGACAAGACUCAACUGAACUCCUCCAGCCUCCAGAAACUAUUCCGCGAAGUAAGAAUAAUGAAGGUUUUGAAUCAUCCCAACAUAGUUAAAUUAUUUGAAGUGAUUGAGACUGAGAAAACGCUCUACCUUGUCAUGGAGUACGCUAGUGGCGGAGAGGUAUUUGAUUACCUAGUGGCUCAUGGCAGGAUGAAAGAAAAAGAGGCUCGAGCCAAAUUCC
rnacentral:lncRNA from 1 species